CCUACGGGAGGCAGCAGUGAGGAAUAUUGGUCAAUGGACGAGAGUCUGAACCAGCCAAGUAGCGUGAAGGAUGACUGCCCUAUGGGUGGUAAACUUCUUUUAUAUGGGAGUAAAGUGUUCCACGUGUGGUGUUUUGUAUGUACCAUAUGAAUAGGGAGCGGCUAACUCCGUGCCAGCAGCCGCGGUAAUACGGAGGAUCCGAGCGUUAUCCGGAUUUGUUGGGGUUAAAGGGAGCGUAGGUGGAUUGUUAAGUCAGUUGUGAAAGUUUGCGGCUCAACCGUAAAAUUGCAGUUGAAACUGGCAGUCUUGAGUACAGUAGAGGUGGGCGGAAUUCGUGGUGUAGCGGUGAAAUGCUUAGAUAUCACGAAGAACUCCGAUUGCGAAGGCAGUUCACUGGACUGCAACUGACACUGAGGCUCGAAAGUGUGGGUAUCAAACAGGAUUAGAUACCCGUGUAGUC
rnacentral:rRNA from 1 species